rnacentral:rRNA from 1 species
UAAGCGGAGGAAAAGAAACUAACAAGGAUUCCCCUAGUAACGGCGAGUGAAGCGGGAAGAGCUCAAAUUUGAAAUCUGGUGGCCUCAGGCUAUCCGAGUUGUAAUCUAUAGAAACAUUUUCCGCGUUGGCCCAUGUACAAGUCUCUUGGAAUAGAGCGUCAUAGAGGGUGAGAAUCCCGUCCUUGACAUGGACUACCAGUGCUUUGUGAUAUGUUUUCAACGAGUCGAGUUGUUUGGGAAUGCAGCUCAAAAUGGGUGGUAAAUUCCAUCUAAAGCUAAAUAUUGGCGAGAGACCGAUAGCGAACAAGUACCGUGAGGGAAAGAUGAAAAGCACUUUGGAAAGAGAGUUAAACAGUAUGUGAAAUUGUUGAAAGGGAAACGAUUGAAGUCAGUCGUGUCUAUUGGACUCAGCCGGUUCUGCCGGUGUACUUCCUUUAGAUGGGGUCAACAUCAGUUUUGAUCGCUGGAAAAGGGCAGGAGGAAUGUAGCACUCUCGGGUGAACUUAUAGCCUUCUGUCGCAUACAGUGGUUGGGACUGAGGAACGCAGCUUGCCUUUAUGGCCGGGAUUUAUCCACGUACAAGCUUAGGAUGUUGACAUAAUGGCUUUAAACGAC